CUUCAGAGCAAACACAUCCGCUCGUUUCCUCCCUGCGGCCACUCUGUAAGGUGCGCUGCUAUUGUCCCCAGUCGGCAAAUGAAGAAGCUAAGCCACAGAAAGAUUAAGUGGUGGGCCCCGGAGUGUCUCCUCAGUGGAUCCUGCAGCUCUGUCUCCGGGGAGCGGUUGAUUCUCCAGAAAAUAUGACACUUUGUUUCCUGCCCUUGCUUGUUAACACACCCCAUUACCACCCAUCUCAGUUUCAUGGAACUGCCAGCCGGCAUUAACGCCCUCCUCCUCCUCACCGAGGCAGAAAAUAGAAAAGGGAGAAUUCAGCAGAUUUUCCCCCGUGGCACCCUCGGCGGCACCAAGAUAACCAGAGCAGAAACCACAAUUGGAUCCUUAUUCCUGCAGCCUGCGGAAUGUGAAGGACGGACAGGAGAUGCUGUAGACCGUCCCCGCCAGCUGUGGGCGCCCAGGGCCAUCAGAAAAGCGAUUCCCCCUCUUCUCCAGCCAAGAACGUUGGGGCAUGCGACCCUGGGUACAACAGGCUGACUCGGUGUCCCUGCGUGCCGCACGGCCGAGACAGCGGGGGAGUCGGCGUUGGUGGAGAUUCCUAGCGCCAGGCCCUGUGCGCACAGGUAUCCCACCCACAGUAUCCAA